GGAUUAGAUACCCUGGUAGUCCUAGCUGUAAACGAUGGAUACUAGACGUAGGAACUGGAUUGACGGUUUCUGUGUCGCAGCUAACGCGUUAAGUAUCCCGCCUGGGAAGUACGGCCGCAAGGCUAAAACUCAAAUGAAUUGACGGGGACCCGCACAAGCGGUGGAUCAUGUGGUUUAAUUCGAAGAUACGCGAAGAACCUUACCGGCUCUUGACAUACCAAUCGCGGACUUAAGAGAUUGAGUCUUUCACUUCGGGUGGAUUGGAUACAGGUGCUGCAUGGCUGUCGUCAGCUCGUGCCG
rnacentral:rRNA from 1 species